rnacentral:rRNA from 1 species
UACGUAGGAUGCGAGCGUUGUCCGGAAUUAUUGGGCGUAAAGAGCUCGUAGGCGGUGUGUCGCGUCGGCCGUGAAAACCUGCAGCUUAACUGUGGGCUUGCGGUCGAUACGGGCAGACUAGAGGUAUGCAGGGGAGAACGGAAUUCCUGGUGUAGCGGUGGAAUGCGCAGAUAUCAGGAGGAACACCGGUGGCGAAGGCGGUUCUCUGGGCAUUACCUGACGCUGAGGAGCGAAAGUGUGGGGAGCGAACAGG